GACAGAGGGUGCAAACGUUGUUCGGAAUUACUGGGCGUAAAGCGCGUGUAGGCGGCCCUGCAAGUCGGAUGUGAAAUCCCACGGCUCAACCGUGGAAGUGCAUUCGAAACUGCAGGGCUAGAGUCCUGGAGAGGAAGGUGGAAUGCUUGGUGUAGAGGUGAAAUUCGUAGCUAUCAAGCGGAACACCGGUGGCGAAGGCGGCCUUCUGGACAGUGACUGACGCUGAGACGCGAAAGCGUGGGGAGCAAACAGG
rnacentral:rRNA from 1 species